GACAGAGGCCCCAAGCGUUUAGGCGGAAUCACUGGGCUUAAAGCGUGUGUAGGCGGAUCGUUAAGUGUCUUGUGAAAUCCCACGGCUCACCCGUGGAACGGCUGGGCAUACUGGCGAUCUUGGGCCAACUAGGGGCAGUCGGAACAAGCGGUGGAGCGGUGAAAUGCGUAGAUAUCGCUUGGAACGCCGAAGGUGAAAACAGACUGCUGGGGUUGCGCCGACGCUGGAAACACGAAAGCUAGGGGAGCAAACAGG
rnacentral:rRNA from 1 species